GGUUCAUUAAAAAAAUUGCGAUUUCUUUUGGAGCCCCGUGGACAGAUUGGCAUGUUUUUCUCUAUUCAACGAGAUAGGACUUCAAUAUCUAUUCUUGAAAGAUUCUGCAUGUGUCGCUGCUUGCAGGAAUAGAAUUGAGGCUGAAAAAAGUGAAAAUAGAUGAAGCUAAGGAAGAAGGAAAAACAAAAGCGAAAAACUAAAACGUUAAGGGGGGAUAGAAAUGCCCAGGUGGAAAAAAAGGUUCUGUUAUACAGAAGAUAAACUGAAUCCUGUCCCUGUAGAAGUUGUAGCAGAAAAUCAAGAAUUAAAAGACCUCAACAACAAUAUUAUUGUUUGAUAUUUUCAUCAAGUGAUAAUUUAUCUCAGGAAAGGAACUUCUGUAUAUAAACUUAGCUACUUCCCCUAAAUGACAAUGUACAUUUCAGUGAAUAAAAGUCUACAAUGAAGUCUACAUAGAAUGGGGAAAAACAGUUGCAAAAAGUUGAAAUUGGUUUAGAAAAUGUUUACGUAUGAUGUUAGAACGUUUUCCGAACAGACCUCUUUCUGUACAUGCAUUAAAUAAAAAAUAAUUCUUUGGUAAAA